AACCACAAAUCCUUAAUCUAGUAAAUCUGGAUUCACUCCUCAUAAACUCAAUAUAUUAUAUUUAGUCUAUUCGAUCGAGUUAAUAUCACUACAUAUGUAUGUAUAUCUCAUUUGAAGGUGUUUUUAAUAUAAUUUUAGCUGACACGAACUAAAAUAUAGCAAUAAAACUGAGUAUAAGAUAAUGACAUUCAAUAUAAAUCAAGAAGAUACCAAAUUUGAUUGUAAUAUACUAACGAUUUCAUCGAAUAAUGGAUGUUUAAUUCUUUCGCAAAACUUUUUAAUAUAAAGUUUUGCAAGCACCUGAAGUAAUUUCCCGGGCUUUGAUUCUUGCAAGUUACAAGAGUAUAAAAUGUUCGGUUCCAUCCUAACUUAGACCUUGGUUACUUUUUUUUUGGCUUUAUUUACACAUGCCAUUCGUUGUUAAUGAAUCAGGCAUUGUAGUAUUUCAAAAAACUAAAAUUUUUUUAGCUGAAAUAUUUUGGAAGUCUAUAAGUUUGGAAGUCUAAAAGUUAAAUUAAAUUAAAAACAACUUCAAAACAUCUUUGAAACAAAUUAUUAUUCAUAAUAUGUAUAACAUUUUGCGGUCGAGUUUAUAUGAAAAAUUAAAAACAAAAGUGACGAUCCGCCCUUUCUCCUGAUGAUCCAGGGUAUAUUAAGUUUGCCACGAAGUUCGUAACACCCAGUAGGAAACGUCGAAAAUCUUAUUAAAUAUGUAUAUGUAUAAAUGAUCAGUGUGAUGAGCAGAGUUGAUUUAGCCAUGUCCGUCUGUCCAUGACAACGGUACAAUCUGCGAACAACUUGUUCAGAUCGGACCUCUACACAAUAUAGUUGCCAAAUAAACCGACCGAUCAAAAUCAAGUGUUUCUUUGGAAACUUUUUUAUUUGUGAAGGGUAUUCUAGCUUCGGUGCAACUGAAGUUUAAAUUUUUUCUUGUUUUACGAGCAGUAAUAAAAGUCUUAUCAGUACAAUCA